GCUGGACCUUACACCUCUCUGUGUUUGCAGUGCUGGCUGUUGUUUGGGGCUCCACCUUUGCUGCAGGUAAGACUGACUUGCAAAAGCUUUGAAGUGAGCACAUAAAUGUAGCAAAUGCUCAUAUAAAGGUAACAAACGUUGACCUUACUUCACAGAACAGUUUUAAAUAAGUAUUACAAGCUUAUGUAAGGUUUCAUGUUUUUACACUUACUGAGAGCCUUUCAAUGAUGAUGAGCAUGUUUUAGACAGUUCAAUGCUUGCUAGCUCCAUAAACCAGGUCUGGGGUCUGGAGCCACGAGUUGAGAACCAGUCCCAGUCACAUGUUUGUGUUCUGACAGAAACGGAGGUGAUCUACGCCUGUCACAACCAGACCGCUGAGAUGUCCUGCGACGUCGGCACCAGCAUUAGCCUGGAGCACAUCCUGUAUAAGGUUGGCGUGGGGACGCGAUGUGGCGAGGGGAAGCGUCACCCGGACGACGGGGAGGGCGUGUACUGCAGCUUCCCCUGGGCAGAGAUGGUGGUGGAGGACCUAUGUGGGAACAAGAGAACCUGUAAAGUCCCCGUGACUGAGCUGGUCUUCGGUGAAUAUCCCUGUGAGGAGCAGACUCGCUAUCUGGAAGUUUCCUACAGCUGCGCCAAACCUCCACCUCCACCUCAACCACCAGCACCAGUGAAAGUAGCUCAACCUGACUGUGAGGAGAAAGCAGCAGGUGAAGCAUGACGUCACACACGCAGGAGAAGAGGAAACCUCCUUCAAAGUAAAACCUGAGAGCUUUUAUUCUGAAAGGGUUUAACGUUUACAG
rnacentral:lncRNA from 1 species